GACGAACGCUGGCGGCGUGCUUAACACAUGCAAGUCGAGCGAGAAACCUUCGGGUUUCUAGCGGCGGACUGGUGAGUAACACGUGGGUAACCUCCCUCCAAGAGGGGGAUAGCCUUCCGAAGGGAAGAUUAAUACCGCAUAAUAUUACAGUUUCGCAUGAAGCAGUAAUUAAAGGAGUAAUCCGCUUUGAGAUGGACCAGCGGCGCAUUAGCUUGUUGGAGACGUAACGGCUCACCAAGGCAACGAUGCGUAGCCGACCUGAGAGGGUGAUCGGCCACAUUGGAACUGAGAUACGGUCCAGACUCCUACGGGAGGCAGCAGUGGGGAAUAUUGCACAAUGGGCGAAAGCCUGAUGCAGCAACGCCGCGUGAGUGAUGAAGGUCUUCGGAUUGUAAAGCUCUGUCUUUUGGGACGAUAAAGACGGUACCAAAGGAGGAAGCCACGGCUAACUACGUGCCAGCCGCCGCGGUAA
rnacentral:rRNA from 1 species